rnacentral:rRNA from 1 species
AUUGAACGCUGGCGGCAGGCCUAACACAUGCAAGUCGAACGGUAACAGGAAGAAGCUUGCUUCUUUGCUGACGAGUGGCGGACGGGUGAGUAAUGUCUGGGGAACUGCCUGAUGGAGGGGGAUAACUACUGGAAACGGUAGCUAAUACCGCAUAACGUCGCAAGACCAAAGAGGGGGACCUUCGGGCCUCUUGCCAUCGGAUGUGCCCAGAUGGGAUUAGCUAGUAGGUGGGGUAACGGCUCACCUAGGCGACGAUCCCUAGCUGGUCUGAGAGGAUGACCAGCCACACUGGAACUGAGACACGGUCCAGACUCCUACGGGAGGCAGCAGUGGGGAAUAUUGCACAAUGGGCGCAAGCCUGAUGCAGCCAUGCCGCGUGUAUGAAGAAGGCCUUCGGGUUGUAAAGUACUUUCAGCGGGGAGGAAGGGAGUAAAGUUAAUACCCUUGCUCAUUGACGUUACCCGCAGAAGAAGCACCGGCUAACUCCGUG